CAGCCGCCGCGGUAAUACCGGCGGCCCGAGUGGCGGUCACUCUUAUUGGUCUUAAAGCGUCCGUAGCCGGGUUGGGAAGGCCUCCGGGAAAUCUGGCCGCUUAACGGUCAGAAUGCCGGAGGAUACUCCCAGCCUAGGGAGCGGGAGAGGCCGAGGGUAUUCCCGGAGUAGGGGUGAAAUCCUAUAAUCCCGGGAGGACCACCUGUGGCGAAGGCGCUCGGCUGGAACGCGUCCGACGGUGAGGGACGAAGGCCAGGGGAGCAAACCGGAUUAGAUACCCGGGUAGUCCUGGCUGUAAACGAUGCGGACUUUGUGUCGGACAAGCUAUGAGCUUGUCCGGUGCCGGAGGGAAACCGUUAAGUCCGCCGCCUGGGGAGUACGGCCGCAAGGCUGAAACUUAAAGGAAUUGGCGGG
rnacentral:rRNA from 1 species